ensembl:lncRNA
GAGAGAGACUGAAUUUAUUUACACUGUGUAACUUUGCCCAUUGGUUUUUCUAUGUUACAUGCAUCCUAUUCAACUGCAUUCCAGCAACCAUCAGGUGUUCCAUUUGCUUCCCUCAGUGCUCCCUGGGAAAUGUGGUUUGUGGGACACCCACGCAAUCAGGAUGCUGAUUUCAUGCUGUUCAUGCAGUGGGAUUUAUGUCAUACAUUGAGAUUUCUCUUUCUCUUUCUCUUCUUGCAUUAAAGCUUGUUUCUAACUACUAGUCAGAAUCCAGAAUCCUUUUUUUGUGAGUCGGCCUCCUGGAACAGUCACUGGAAAUGACACCUGCGACGCAGCCGUGAUGGCUAUAAAAUGACAAAUUCGAAGAGGGGAAGGAGAAAAAGCGAGAAUGAGAGAAAAAGCAGGGGAAAAAAGUGUGUGACGGAGAGAGCAGGGUUUUCUCAGCGCUGGUAGGAGCAGAUGGUGAGCACAUUUUGCACAUCAUUUGUGAAUGAUUUCAAAAUCUAUUUAUCUAUUCCAAAGAGAUCGCUGGAAUCCCCAUCUGCCUGUCUUUUUUCUCCUCUCUUCUAUAAUCGUUACCAUCCCUCCAUCUCACAGCAUUGCAAACGGAGAAGAGGAGGAGGCUGACUCGAUGAGACGAGCGAGAGAGAGACAAAAGACAGAGAAAGAGGGGGCCUCCAUCAUAAAGAAUGUAAUACUGCCACUGUUGAACAUCAGCAGGGAGCUACAGGCAGAAGCCCUUCAGAGAAACUGUCCAGCUGCACCUGUGGGCAGGAGCUGAUGGGAUUAAUGUUUACACAUGGAAGCAAAAUGUCACAUACUUACUGCAGGCUUUCCCGUGAUUUUCAAGAGUACUGCCAUCAGGUAAGGUCUCAUGCAUCUUCGGUUACAUGCAAUGUUUGUGAUG